AGCUCGGUAGCUUGGUGGGUAAAGCGCUAGUUUUGCAAACAAGUGUCCUGGGUUCGAAUCCCAGCCGAGCAC
rfam:Aedes aegypti strain Liverpool supercont1.115 genomic scaffold, whole genome shotgun sequence.